rnacentral:rRNA from 1 species
UUCGUAGGCGGUGUGGCAAGUUGGGAGUGAAAUCUCUGGGCUCAACCCAGAGGCUGCUUCCAAAACUGCUGUGCUUGAGUGUGAGAGAGGCUCGUGGAAUUGCAGGUGUAGCGGUGAAAUGCGUAGAUAUCUGCAGGAACACCCGUGGCGAAAGCGGCGAGCUGGAUCACAACUGACGCUGAGGAACGAAAGCUAGGGGAGCAAACA